rnacentral:rRNA from 1 species
UUCCGGUUGAUCCUGCCGGACCUGACUGCUAUCGGAUUGAUACUAAGCCAUGCGAGUCAUUGUAGCAAUACAAGGCAUACGGCUCAGUAACGCGUAGUCAACCUAACCUAUGGACGGGAAUAACCUCGGGAAACUGAGAAUAAUGCCCGAUAGAACAUUAUGCCUGGAAUGGUUUAUGUUCCAAAUGAUUUAUCGCCGUAGGAUGGGACUGCGGCCUAUCAGUUUGUUGGUGAGGUAAUGGCCCACCAAGACUAUUACAGGUACGGGCUCUGAGAGGAGUAGCCCGGAGAUGGGUACUGAGACACGGACCCAGGCCCUAUGGGGCGCAGCAGGCGAGAAAACUUUGCAAUGUGCGAAAGCACGACAAGGUUAAUCCGAGUGGUUUCUGCUAAAGAAACCUUUUGUCAGUCCUAGAAACACUGAUGAAUAAGGGGUGGGCAAGUUCUGGUGUCAGCCGCCGCGGUAAAACCAGCACCUCAAGUGGUCAGGAUGAUUAUUGGGCCUAAAGCAUCCGUAGCCGGCUCUGUAAGUUUUCGGUUAAAUCUGUACGCUCAACGUACAGGCUGCCGGGAAUACUGCAGAGCUAGGGAGUGGGAGAGGUAGACGGUACUCGGUAGGAAGGGGUAAAAUCCUUUGAUCUAUUGAUGACCACCUGUGGCGAAGGCGGUCUACCAGAACACGUCCGACGGUGAGGGAUGAAAGCUGGGGG